AACGCGAAGAACCUUACCAGGGUUUGACAUCCGCGGACAUGCCAUGAAAGUGGUCCUUCCCCGCAAGGGGACCGCGAGACAGGUGUUGCAUGGUUGUCGUCAGCUCGUGUCGUGAGAUGUUGGGUUAAGUCCCGCAACGAGCGCAACCCUCACCCAAUGUUGCCAGCGUCAAGUCGGGCACUCUUUGGGAACUGCCCAUGUAAGUGGGAGGAAGGUGGGGAUGACGUCAAAUCGGCAUGGCCCUUACAUCCUGGGCUUGACACAUGCUACAAUGGCCGUUAAACAGAGCGACGCAAUACCGCGAGGUGGAGCCAAUCGCAAAAAUACGGUCUCAGUUCAGAUUGCAGGCUGCAACUCGCCUGCAUGAAGUUGGAAUCGCUAGUAACCGCAGGUCAGCUAAACUGCGGUGAAUACGUUCCCGGGCCUUGUACACACCGAGACGUA
rnacentral:rRNA from 1 species